GUACGGGAGGCAGCAGUGGGGAAUAUUGGACAAUGGGCGCAAGCCUGAUCCAGCGAUGCCGCGUGUGUGAAGAAGGCCUGCGGGUUGUAAAGCACUUUCAGUGGGGAGAACGAGGCCUGGGUUAAUACCCUGGGCGGAAGAUGUUACCCACAGAAGAAGCACCGGCUAACUCUGUGCCAGCAGCCGCGGUAAUACAGAGGGUGCAAGCGUUAAUCGAAAUUACUGGGCGUAAAGGGUGCGUAGGUGGUUUGAUAAGUUAGAUGUGAAAGUCCUGGGCUCAACCUGGGGACUGCGUCUGAUACUGUUGAGCUAGAGUUCUGUAGAGGAAGGUGGAAUUUCCGGAGUAGCGGUGAAAUGCGUAGAUAUCGGAAGGAACAUCGGUGGCGAAGGCGGCCUUCUGGACAGGAACUGACACUGAGGCACGAAAGCGUGGGGAGCAAACAGGAUUAGAUACCCUGGUAGUCCC
rnacentral:rRNA from 1 species